GUGACUCACUAUGGCUGCCCAGCAUCGUGAAACGACACCAAAGCACAUGCCACUAAGCUCAGGAAAGAUGGAUCUCAAAGCCCAGUUUCUUCUGCAUGCGCAUCACUUUACUGCCGUCAGAGUGCUGGGAUCGUCAGCUUACAGCUAUGAGAGUCAGAAACCAGCUCUGGACUUUUGGCAAGAAGGUCUCCAGCUGAAUCUGUAGACGACUGAUUCAGCUAGACUGCUUUCCAGCAAGUCCCAGGGAUCUUACAGUCUUUGUCUCCCAAGGUUGGAACUACAGAAAAUGCCACCAUGCUCAGCUUCUUUACAUGGAUGAUAGGGAUCAAAUCUGUGUCGUUAUGCUUACACAAGUACUGCACUUAUUGAGCUAUUCUCAAAGUCCAUGUUUUUCUAUCAGGACGUUUAGCUCUUAACUGCUGCUCCAACACCAUGCCUACCUGUCAGCCUCUCUGCCUUCCAGAUACCACACUCCCCAUCCGGAUGAUACAAGACUAAUCCUUGGCCCCUGUAGUCAAGCACUUGAUUAAAUGUGUUUCUCUAUGUGUUA